rnacentral:misc_RNA from 1 species
CAUCAAACGAACACAAUGGCGGCAGGGUCUGAAGGCAUGGAGCGAAUGCUCCCGGAAUUACGCCCGAACAGAAAGCACCCUCGGAGAUCUAUGUGUGCCUGCACUGCAUAUAGCUGCAACAAACUUCUGUUGUUUCUCUACACCUUAGUUUUCGUGUGUGUUGGAAUUAUCUUGUUGGGUAUCGGGAUUAUCGUGGAAGUUCAUCGACAGGACAUCCAGUCAGUAAACAACCGACUUGCACUUCCUGUUGCUCUCCUGAUCGUGGUGGGGCUUCUCAUUGCCAUCAAUGCUUUCUGUGGUCUUGUUGGAACCGUCACCGAGAACCCAACUUUACUCAAAGUGUUUCUGGUGGGGACCAUCAUUGCCUUCCUCCUCCAAGUUUCCAUCGGAAUAGUGGCAUAUGUGUAUAGAGAGAAAGUCCCCGACAUCCUCAGUGAUGAAUUGAUGUUUGGUGUGGAGAAAUAUACAGAGAACGAUGACAUUGCCCGGGCCAUGAACUUCAUACAGAAAUCUUUCAAAUGUUGCGGCUUCAAGACGUUUGAGGACUACAUAAAUUACAACAAAGACUUUUCUUGUGUGUCUCCUAAACCCAUGGCAUGUGGCGUCCCCUAUACCUGCUGUAAAGUAAGGGAGAAUGUUGCCCUGCCCAAGACGUGUGGCUACGGGGUGAUGGGGAAUGCUACACUGAGUGACGUCAUCUACACGGAGGGCUGCACCGACGCCUUCCUCAACUGGCUGGCCAGUCAUCUGGACUACGUGGGUGCCACAGCUCUGGGGUGUGCCAUCCCACAGAUAUUCGGGAUGCUGCUGGCCUACUUCUUCAUCCGCCGCGUCGGUGACCUGAGGGUGUGGUACCGGGUGGACAACUUCCGCUCCGGGUAGCCCGCCCCCGCCCCCCCUUACAGCUCUAGUCAGCACCGCAUCCACACAGACGUGCCCAUGUACCUUCACAAAUAGGCCAUAAUCUCAUACUGUCAUGUCCAAGUAACACUACAAGCUUCAGCCCUCACUGAGGUGUAUCACGUAGCUGUGCAGUGUUGACGUAUCAGGGUACAUGUGGUACAAAUCGUGUAUCAGGAGUGUCAUAAAGUAAUAGCGUGGAUAGCCACUAUCAGGGAGCACCAUUCCACACAGCGAUCUUAACGCUAUGUCAUAAGUCAUUGCUAAGGCAAGGAGUUAUGGUUGUCUUAGCGCUGAGAUUGUUUGGUGGAAUCUAUUAAAACAGUAACUACUACGUUAGAUUAGAAGUGAAACAAAACCGUAACUGAUAUAGACUUCAAAGUAGACACAAUUUAUGGAUAACAACUUCUUUAAUUCCUGUAACAGCGACGUUGACAACGGUAUAAGGAUCUAUACCGAAACGUCAACUUUACAGUUGUUAAAGAAGUUGUCCAUAAAUUGUGUCUACUUUGUCAUCCGUCAUCUUCUAAGUAAUGCCUAUUGAACAAUUGAUAUAGACUAUCCAGAAAUGUAAACCUCAUUUGAAUACACUUGUACAGUUUCACUUUUUGACUGUCUGGGUAUAUCAAAUUUCAUCUCACAUCAACUUUUACCAGGUGAGAGGAGAAAGGCAUUCAAGGCCUUCCCUAAUUCCCAGUCCUAAACUGUCAAGCCAGAGAUUUAGGUUGGUGCUUAUUAUUAUCGACCUUGCACUGUUGUCAUGCUGAUCCAGAUAUGGAGAACAUAUCGCUUUAAGGUAUCCAGUCACUCGGUUAUUUAGUACCCAGAAAUAUACCAGAAAUAUUGAUGAAAAGUUUGUUCAAUAAAUUAUUUUAUGAAAAUAAUGAGUAAUAUUUUUGCAAAACAAAUUGGAAAUUAGUCGUAACAUAUAAAGUCGCCUUGUACAUAGAGACUCGUCCCCUGUAUGUUGUGAUAUUUCUUUCAUAUAUUAUGCAAUACUCAAUAUCGGUAUUAAAGGUAUACUGUCCUAGUUACGUACACUGUACAUUCAGGCUAUGUUGAGUUAAUGCAGGAGCACAUUAAUAGUGAAUGCAAUGUGCAUGGACACAAUAUGUCAAUUUUCUUAUACCAUGUAUUUCAUCACAACAUAUUUCAUACUGUUAUCAAUGCAUUAAGAUAUUUAAAUGGUUUUUUUACUCUUUCUACGAGGUAUAGACUAACUUCCUUAUGAAUACUUCAAGGAGGGUUCCACAAGACAUGUUUGAUGUAUCAAUUUACUCUCAAUGGGCGUCCAUCUUUUUCAGAGACUGUAACUGUACAAGUAUCAUUCAGAUUAUUUCAUUUUUUGAAGCUAGAAUGAGCGUCAUUCAGAUCAUAUAAUUUAUCAAAGCUUUAUCUCACCAUGUGGGUCGGUUAACACAUGCCUCCUGAAUUUAUUUUCAUUAAGAUCAAUAAUUUUUGGUCCUGUCUGGUAAAAAGUCCAAUGUUUGUAUAAUUACCAUGUCAAGAUUUAAAGAUUUGUAAUAAAAGGGGUAUCUUUGUUUGCCUGGACUGUACCAUCAUGGUUGCUAAUCGGUUUGAAUUAGUUUGAGAAAAAUCAGUUCUGAGUUGAGUUGGAUGAUAUUGGAUUGCACCGUGACAGUGGAGUGGAGAUAUCUGCAGGAGUACCCCCAGUGUAGGCCCUCACUCAGCUGUGACUGUGGAGUGGAGAUAUCUGCGGGUGUAGACCCUCACUCUGCUGUGACUGUGGAGUGGAGAUAUCUGCAGGAGUACCCCCAGUGUAGACCCUCACUCUGCUGUGACUGUGGAGUGGAGAUAUCUGCAGGAGUACCCCCAGUGUAGACCCUCACUCAGCUGUAACAGUGGAGUGGUGAUAUCUGCAGGAGUACCCCCAGUGUAGACCCUCACUCAGCUGUGACUGUGGAGUGGAGAUAUCUGCAGGAGUACCCCAAGUGUAGACCCUCACUCAGCUGUGACAGUGGAGUGGAGAUAUCUGCAGGAGUACCCCCAGUGUAGACCCUCACUCUGCUGUGACUGUGGAGUGGUGACAUCUGCAGGAGUACCCCCAGUGUAGACCCUCACUCAGCUGUGACUGUGGAGUGGAGAUAUCUGCAGGAGUACCCCAAGUGUAGACCCUCACUCAGCUGUGACGGUGGAGUGGUGAUAUCAGCAGGAGUACCCCCAGUGUAGACCCUCACUCAGCUGUGACAGUGGAGUGGAGAUAUCUGCAGGAGUACCCCCAGUGUAGACCCUCACUCUGCUGUGACUGUGGAGAGGAGAUAUCUGCAGGAGUACCCCCAGUGUAGACCCUCACUCAGCUGUGACAGUGGAGUGGUGAUAUCUGCAGGAGUACCCCCAGUGUAGACCCUCACUCUGCUGUGACUGUGGAGUGGUGAUAUCUGCAGGAGUACCCCAAGUGUAGACCCUCACUCAGCUGUGACAGUGGAGUGGUGAUAUCUGCAGGAGUACCCCCAGUGUAGACCCUCACUCUGCUGUGACUGUGGAGUGGUGACAUCUGCAGGAGUACCCCAAGUGUAGACCCUCACUCAGCUGUGACAGUGGAGUGGAGAUAUCUGCAGGAGUACCCCCAGUGUAGACCCUCACUCAGCUGUGACUGUGGAGUGGAGAUAUCUGCAGGAGUACCCCCAGUGUAGACCCUCACUCAGCUGUGACUGUGGAGUGGAGAUAUCUGCAGGAGUACCCCCAGUGUAGCCCCUCACUCAGCUGUGACAGUGGAGUGGAGAUAUCUGCAGGAGUACCCCCAGUGUAGACCCUCACUCAGCUGUGACUGUGGAGUGGUGAUAUCUGCAGGAGUACCCCCAGUGUAGACCCUCACUCAGCUGUGACAGUGGAGUGGAGAUAUCUGCAGGAGUACCCCCAGUGUAGACCCUCACUCAGCUGUGACAGUGGAGUGGAGAUAUCUGCAGGAGUACCCCCAGUGUAGACCCUCACUCAGCUGUGACAGUGGAGUGGUGAUAUCUGCAGGAGUACCCCCAGUGUAGACCCUCACUCAGCUGUGACUGUGGAGUGGUGAUAUCUGCAGGAGUACCCCCAGUGUAGACCCUCACUCUGCUGUGACAGUGGAGUGAUGAUAUCAGCAUGAGUACCUCCAGUGUAGACCCUCACUCAGCUGUGACUGUGGAGUGAUGAUAUCAGCAUGAAUACCCCCAGUGUAGACCCUCACUCAGCUGUGACUGUGGAGUGAUGAUAUCAGCAUGAAUACCCCCAGUGUAGACCCUCACUCUGCUGUGACAGUGGAGUGGAGAUAUCUGCAGGAGUACCCCUAGUGUAGACCCUCACUCAGCUGUGACAGUGGAGUGAUGAUAUCAGCAUGAGUACCUCCAGUGUAGACCCUCACUCAGCUGUGACAGUGGAGUGGAGAUAUCAGCAUGAAUACCCCCAGUGUAGACCCUCACUCUGCUGUAGUAUGCAACCUGAUCACAUGUCCAGUGUCUCUUGUCCAUCCAUCGGUCCAUCUGUCCGUCCACACACCUUUACACAUUUUGGCCAUCUUUCUCAAGCUUUGAAAUAUGUAUUUGGCAUUCUCUUUGAUAUAACAAAUUUGCUUGUCAAAUUUCCGUGGAUGCUUGAAGUUUCUGUGUGCAGUACGCAGCUUACAGUAAAUUCAUUCGUGCGAGAAGUAAAUACUCAAAAUGACAUUGUGUUCCUCUGGGUCAUUUCUCUCGUUUAUUUGUGUUUAUUCUUCGACAGCAUUUCAUUCGAGAUGUUAUAUUACAUGAUACAAAACUGGAUGUAAACAUAACAGUGAUAAAGUUUAAAGAACUGGAACUUAUAACAAACACUCUACAUUCUGUGUAAUUAACAGUUUUGUGUUUCCUCUUGAAUUACUGACACAAUUAAGUUGUCAAGGGUCAAAGGAGACAUAUAGUUCCAUCUCCAUCACCGAGAAACUGUCACAUGUAUGACAUGUGCUUAGAUCUCUCAAACCAUGACAACGAAAAAAACCUUAGAAGUUCAAAACUUUUGGACAUUUGUACGUUAUCUUGUGUUUACUAGAUAUUUAAUGAGAAAAUGUCAUUAUGUUAUCUAUAGUUACUAUUCUCUGAGAUAAUAUUAAUGAAUCCUGUUCAGCAUUUGCCAAGUUUUAUUGUUUGAUAAUGAUUUUGUGCAUAAUAUUUAAACUUUUAGAUAAAAUAUUUCUACAAGCUUUUUACUUUGUUUUACCAUUGAUAUUUUGUUUGUGGAAGUUGUUGGGUUUUUUCCUUGACUGGAAGAACAGCAAGUAGAUCUGUCUUGUUUUUUUAACUGCUUCCAUUUUGAUUGCCAUAUUUACAGUAUAGUUUGGUGUGCUCGCCAUUUGAAUUUUUAGCUCACCUGACUCAAAGUCAAUAAACUUUGUUAAUUUGUUGUCAAGGAUGUGCUUGUUCAUUUCAGUGUAAGGAUAUAUUGAAUUAGGGAGCUUAUGUUUUGUAUCACAAGGUCAGAUGGGUCAGUAGAUGCUACAGGCCUAAUUAGUGCUAGGAUUAUCUAACUGCUCUAAUACAGAUUUAUGGUCGUACUACAGCUGACAUUGUACAACUAGGUCAGCUGACUGACCUCCUCUACAACUAGACUUUAAUUAAUUGAUUUUGUUUAAAAUCCGAUGGAGCAAGUGGUAAGAUAGAAAUAAUAGAAAACAAAACAUUUGUUAUUUCUUUAAAGAAGUAUUUUGGGAAAGUCAAGUCAAUUGUUUUCAUCACUGGAAUAUUUUGUUCACAUUGACCAAACUCUGCCAGUAACCAACACCAAUACUCCUGAAGUCAACAAUAAGUUUAUGAGGGUAAAAAAAAAGAGGGGGGGGCUGUCUGGUAGCCUAGUGGUUAAAGCGUUCACUCAUCACGCCAAAGACCUGGGUUCGAUUCCCGACAUGGGUACAAUGUGUGAAGCCCAUUUCUGGUGUCCCCUCCGUAAUAUUGCUGGAAUGUUGCUAAAGGCGGCGUAAAACCAUACUCACUCACUCAUUAUGAGGGUAAAAGCAGUCCAUAUGUGCAUUCAUGAGUCUUACGUUGUAAUAGACAAACAAGAAAGGACUUAUUCAACUAGAAAAAUAUUUUUGUUUUUAUUAUUAUUUACUUUUGAUGAGUUGCAUUUUGGAAAUCAAUUUGUGAGCACAAUCAUUUUAUUAUAUUCGUUUAUGUACUUGCGUAAACAUUUCUGGUCGAUUGUUUGAACUGAAGUACAUACGCUGUUGUUAGUGAGACAACCGGUAUAUAGCAUUGGACACAAUGUAGUCCUUUUGUUUAUUUUGCAAUCAUUCUACAUUCCUAUUAAAGGAAAUAUAUAUCUAAGUACAGCUUUUUUACUAAUGACAUAAUUCUAUUUUGAUUACAUGCAUAUUUAUGUUUGCCAUGUAUUACAUAGUAUAUUUUUUAUGUCUUGUUUGGGAUUGAGUUGUGGUUAGCCAUUCCUCUACUGUGGGGGGCGCACAAAACGGUUGACAGUGUAGGUUGUGUUUAGAAGACGAUCUGGCAUUUGAUGGGAUUUUCCGACCAGCAAUCUUCUUCAUUAUUUAAAUACUCAAACACAGAAGUAACUGAUAAAGUUGUCAGGUAUCAUUUUGUGAAUUUUAGAAGCACACAACUCCAUACUCACUUUUUCUCCUUGAAGAAUUCAUGUGCCUUUGUUUAAUUAUGCUUUAUAAUAGAACCAACAAGAUUUAUAAAAUACUUAUUAUUUUAGAAUAGUAUUCCAUUAUUGAUUAUAAAGUGAGAAAUAAAGUAACAGUUUUUAAUAAACAGGGAUUGGAUCAAGAACAAUCAAAAAAGGACUGGAUCAAAAACAUUCUGAGAACAAUAAGACUUAUGCCAUAUUUGAUUUUUUUUAUUUAAAUCCUAUUUUUAGUGAUGAUGUACUGCUGUUUUCAUGUGAGUGAUGCUUUAAGUUUUAUGAGUUAACUAAGAUCUCCUCGUGACAUAAUGUAAGACUAAAUAUAAUGUACUAUUAUAUAUUAAGUACUGCACAACUUUCAUUAUCAUAGGAGCUAAGCGGUUAAGAAAUAAUAACAGUUCAUGUAAUAGUUUGCUGAAGUCCUUGUCACGUCUUCUUGCCAUAACAUUUCAUGAACUCUGGUCACCAUAUUUCUCUUAUUGUACAUUUGUAUAACAUCCUGAGUGUAUACUUCGUCUUUACCUGUAGCUUGCCAUGUGCAAUAUUGCUUGUAGGGUAGUGAAGUGAGUUGCCCAGUGAGACAUGAUUAUUGUUGAAGUUAGGUUGACGAUGUUGUGAGUUAGCCAUUCAGGGAUUUGGCUGUAGCUGUUGUCAUGUUCUCUGUUGUAUUAUAUGUUCUCUGUUCUUUUUUCUUAUAUAAACUUCUGUUAGACAAA